rnacentral:rRNA from 1 species
UCUGGUUGAUCCUGGCGGAGCCUACUGCUAUCGGGAUGGGACUAAGACAUGCUAGUCGUGCGCCUCCUAGCCACGCUGGAGGCGCGGCGCACAGCUCAGUAACACGUGGCCAACCUACCCUUGGGACGGAAACACCCCCGGGAAACUGGGGCUAAUUUCCGAUAGGUGAAGACUCCUGGAAUGGAUUUCCGCUCAAAGGGCGCCUAGGGCAUGCUCCUAGACGUUGCCCAAGGAUGGGGCCGCGACCGAUCAGGUUGUUGGUGAGGUAAUGGCCCACCAAGCCUUUAACCGGUACGGGCCGUGGGAGCGGUAGCCCGGAGAUGGGCACUGAGACAAGGGCCCAGGCCCUACGGGGCGCAGCAGUCGCGAAAACUUCGCAAUAAGCGAAAGCUUGACGGGGCCAUCCCGAGUGCCAUCUGCUGAGGAUGGCUUUUACCCAGUAUAGAUAGCUGGGGGAAUAAGGAGAGGGCAAGUCUGGUGUCAGCCGCCGCGGUAAUACCAGCUCUCCGAGUUGUAGGGAUGUUUAUUGGGCCUAAAGCAUCCGUAGCCGGCUGGACAAGUCCUCUGUUAAAUCCAGCGACCAAUCGUUGGUCUGCGGGGGAUACUGUCCGGCUAGGGGGCGGGAGAGGCCGUCGGUAUUCUUGGGGUAGGGGUGAAAUCCUAUAAUCCCAGGAGGACCACCAGUGGCGAAGGCUGUCGGCUAGAACGCGCCCGACGGUGAGGGAUGAAAGCUGGGGGAGCGAACCGGAUUAGAUACCCGGGUAGUCCCAGCUGUAAACGAUGCAGGCUAGGUGUUAGGGCGGCUACGUGCCGCUCUAGUGCCGCAGGGAAGCUGUUAAGCCUGCCGCCUGGGGAGUACGGCCGCAAGGCUGAAACUUAAAGGAAUUGGCGGGGGAGCACCACAAGGGGUGAAGCUUGCGGUUUAAUUGGAGUCAACGCCGGAAAUCUCACCGGGGGCGACAGCAGGAUGAAAGCCAGAUUAAAGGUCUUGCCAGACGAGCUGAGAGGAGGUGCGUGGCCGUCGCCAGUUCGUGCCGUGAGGUGUCCUGUUAAGUCAGGCAACGAGCGAGACCCA